CCUACGGGAGGCAGCAGUGGGGAAUAUUGGGCAAUGGGCGCAAGCCUGACCCAGCAACGCCGCGUGAAGGAAGAAGGCUCUCGGGUUGUAAACUUCUUUUGACAGGGAAGAGUAGAAGACGGUACCUGUCGAAUAAGCCACGGCGAACUACGUGCCAGCAGCCGCGGUAAUACGUAGGUGGCAAGCGUUGACCGGAUUUACUGGGUGUAAAGGGCGUGUAGCCGGGUUGACAAGUCAGAUGUGAAAUCCUGCGGCUUAACCGCAGAACUGCAGUUGAAACUGUUGAUCUUGAGUACUGGAGAGGCAGACGGAAUGCCUAGUGUAGCGGUGAAAUGCGUAGAUAUUAGGAGGAACACCAGUGGCGAAGGCAGUCUGCUGGACAGCAACUGACGGUGAGGCGCGAAAGCGUGGGGAGCAAACAGGAUUAGAUACCCCUGUAGUC
rnacentral:rRNA from 1 species